UACGGAGGGUGCAAGCGUUAUCCGGAUUCACUGGGUUUAAAGGGUGCGUAGGUGGGCAGGUAAGUCAGUGGUGAAAUCUCCGGGCUUAACUCGGAAACUGCCAUUGAUACUAUCUUUCUUGAAUACCGUGGAGGUCAGCCGGAAUAUGUCAUGUAGCGGUGAAAUGCUUAGAUAUGACACAGAACACCGAUUGCGAAGGCAGCUCACUAAGCCAUAACUGACGCUGAUGCACGAAAGCGUGGGAGCAAACAGG
rnacentral:rRNA from 1 species